UCCAUUUAUUUUGCAAUGAAAUGCAGCUUGUUGGCAUCUAAAAAAAAACUGAGAUUCAAUUUUUUUUCACCUUAUUAGAAUGUGAUUCUUAUUGUGAUAGGACAGCGGAGAGAAGACAGGAAUCCUGGGAGAAAAACUGGUGUAAGACAGGCAGUAAAUAGACUCAGGGCAGAUUCAAACCCAGCUCUCUGCAAUAUCUUUGAGGCAUACGGAUCAUCUUCUUAACCCAAACUUCUCAAAUCUCACAAUGACCUCUUCUUAUUCUGUUUUCUAAUCUUCCUGCACUGACUGACACAGUGAACUAUUUAAACUGCCAGGAGUUACACACCGUUUUCAAACGGGUGACUUGAUUAACACAAAUAGUUUUCUUUGGGGUGUGACACGCUCUGUCCACAUGCCUGUAACUUUAUCUUCCUGUCCUCAGGGACUACGUCAGUUCCUACCCUGUUGAUAUCAGAUGAACUAUUUGUAUCCUGAAACCAACACCCAGCCCAGAGGAGUCGUGAGGUAAAGACCAAACCCAGGAUCAGCUGUUAGCGCUGCGCCCUGCAGCUGCGCUACGGGCAGCCAGACUCUACAUCCCCAGUGAGGGAAGAGACGGGGGUGAUGUCUCCCGAGAAGGACACCUUACACACCAUCUCUCCUUCCUGUAAUCACUGUAAAUGUGAGAUUGCUCCCUGAUAUGAUUGAGGAGCUAAUGACGCUAACCCGGUCACAGUGGCAGUACUCCCUCUGUGAGUAGGCUGCCCGGCUUCCAGCUGCUGCGGGCGGACAAGACGAGAGACAGCGGUGAGAGGAAAGGAGGGGGACUGGCAGUGUUUGUUAAAGACAGUUGUGGUACCCCUGGGCACAUCGCUGUGAAAGAACAACUCUGCAGCAGAGACAUUGAGCUAUUAGCCGUUAGCAUCCGUGGAGGCAGCCUGUGACUCUCUGUGGUCCACAAACUCCAAACGCAAUCUCCGAAAGCUCUUCUUCUCAUAUCAGGGGACUUUAAUCAUGUCUCGCUGGACUCCACACUGCCCACCUUCACCCAGUAUGUGACCUGCCCCACCGUAGGCAAUAAAACAUUGUACUUAAUGUAUGCCAAUGAAAAAGUGGCAUAGAGUUCAUCACCUCUCCUUGCCCAGGGAAGAUCUGAUCAUAAUCUAGUGCGCCUUGUCCCUGUGCGCAGCCCUUAGUGUGCAGGGAGCCACUAAUCACCCACGCAGUGCAGAGAUGGUCCGCGGAGGGCAUAUAAAUAAAUAAUAAAAGCAAAUAAAUGACAGUAUGCUUUUUCUGAAACAAACGGAGACCUUAACUUUUAUCAAAAUACCGUUUUACUCAGUUUAAAGUAAUACCACUGUAUAAUAGCCUUCAAAUUUAAUAAUGUUAACAGUAUCUCAGGAAUAUUUUUGCCCUUUCAACAUGCAUUAAAAAAAUAGAUAUGCAGUUUUGAAUCAGACCUGUAUGUACGUUUUCUGAAAAGUGAUGUAAAUAAGUAAUCUCAAGAACAUGAAAUAAUUAUUUCCCAUGUAAACUGGAGAUGUCCUUGUGUGGAGAUACAGAAAUGCUUUUAUUGCUGCCAUAUAAUCUGCAUCAUUAUAACUGCAUUAAUAACAUUCUUUACAGCAUUAUUCAUUUAAUAAUAUUUCUCACAGUAUUGAUAUUGCAUUAAAGUUGUUUAUUGAAGAUGUCCAUUUCCAUCCUUCCAUGAUGUUAACUUUUACUACAAGUACGGUUAGAAGUAUUUCAUACACAUUGCAUAUUUGUGCUUAUUUUGAGUUGAUGUUCGGUUCAUUAAGGGUCUUAAGCUUCACUGGCGUGACUGUCCAGGUGAUACAUGCUGAGGGAAACUAGAACAUAGAAGGAUAACUGCAAUGCAUGCUUACAAUACAUAUAACACAUAUAAUCUAGGAAUGUGUCAGGCCUGAGGCCUUAACUCAAUUGGUGUCUUACUAUAUUUUACUCUACUUGGCAACAGAUGACCAGAGUCAAUAAUUAGCCCCAGAGACCCUGAGGGCUUGAAGUUUAUUACCUUGUAUGGAAGGUGUUAUAGAAAAGAGAAGUUCCAUGUCUGUUUAUAGCCAUUAAAGAUGUACAAGAUGUACCAUUAAUUGUGACUAAUGUCUGGACCCUAUUUUAAUCUGUAAUUGACGCCAUGGGGGGCGUGUACCCCACUGCUUUAUAAGUGUCCACAACAUGUAUUUUGGUCAGAGGACAUAUGCUGAUGUUUUCUCCUGUGUGUUAAUAAACUCAUCGUUUGAUUGCA